rnacentral:piRNA from 1 species
UACUUGAUGUUACAUUAAGCAAUAGGAUGC